rnacentral:rRNA from 1 species
UACAGAGGGGUGCAAGCGUUGUUUCGGAAUUAUUGGGCGUAAAGGGCGCGUAGGCGGUGCGGUAAGUCUGUAGUGAAAUCUCUGGGCUCAACUCAGAGUCUGCUGCAGAAACUGCCGUGCUUGAGUGUGGGAGAGGUGAGUGGAAUUCCCGGUGUAGCGGUGAAAGUGCGUAGGAUAAUCAGGAGGAACACCGGUGGCGAAGGCGGUUCUCUGGGCACUUACCUGACGCUGGAGGAGCGAAAGUGUGGGGAGCGAACAGG